rnacentral:snRNA from 1 species
AGCUUUGCACAGCAGCAGUAUCAUAGCCAAUGAGGUUUAUCCAAGGCACAAUUAUUGCUAAUUGAAAACUUUUCCCAAUACCCCACCCCGCCCCCAGUGACAACUUGCAAUAUAGUCGGCAUUGACAAUUUUUGAAAGUCUCUACAGAGA